GCAGCUGAAUCCGCGCCCCACGCGCGCGGCUCUGGGGGGGGGGGCGCGCGGAGGAGCAGAGGGUCGCAUUUCCAAGCUCGGGGGAUCCUCAUUGCGGACCGGUUUUCUUUGUCUCCCCCUCUGUCUCUAAGGAUGCUCAGGACCCGGUCGUUAGCGGCAGCCAGAAAAGCGGGCUCGGGGUCAAGGUUGACACGGAGGCUAAAAGCCAGCCGGAGAAAGAAAAGCAGAACACACCGAGAGAGCAUCCCAGAGGCUCUUCUUGAAUGAUCCAUUCCGUAAUUCUUGUACUUCAUCGCACAGUAUCUCAAGUUGAAAAUUAUUUUCUUUGCCAUGAGUUGAAGAUUGGAAAGCCCUGGAUGCCGGUUCUGAAAUCUCCCCUUAACUAGCCCUUUGUCCUUCCCCAGCCACUUUUGCCCUCUCAGAGUCCCAGUUUACUCCCCUGUAACUGAGGGGAGUGGACCAAAUGGUUUGUCAUGUGGUUCCACAUUCCGGGAAGUCCACGCUUUUAAUGGCAAAGCCUGAUAAUUGCCAGUGUUCCUUCUUGACCAUCCUUUCCACAGCUGUAGUCUAGAACACAGUAUUUUUUACCCCAUAGGGCGUCACGGAAACCCAAGUGUCUACCGUGAUGCAGCCACUACGGAAAACAGAAUGGUCGUUUCUCAAAAAAAUUAAAAAUAGGAUUACCAGGGGACCCAGCAGUCCCACUUCUGGGUAUAUACUCAAAAGAAGCGAAAGAGGCUCAUGAAGACAUAUCUGUACAUGGAUGAACCUUGAGGACGUGCUAAGUGAAAUAAGCCAGUCACGAGAAGACAAACACUGCGUGAUUCUACCUAAAUGAAGCUUGAUUGCUCCAAGCUUUAAGAGAAACUGAGGAUUACAAGUUUGCAGGAUAUCAGCUUGGAUGGAGCACUGUUCAAGAACACAAACUCAUGAAGGUUCUCUGCUCCUUCAAAAAAAAAUCUUGGGCACAAGGAGAGUCGGGAAGAGAAAUGGAAACCAUGCCUGGCUGCUUCUGUAAGCAGUGAAACACUGUGGAAUUUGAGACAUCAUUACAGUAAUUGCCAGCCAGCGUCAUCAUCACUAUUUCUGCAAGACCUACCAUGCGGGCAGCGCUGAACGGCAGAGGCAGAGGCAACACUAAAAAGGAGGAAGGAGAAAAUGAGAGGAAAGGGUGACUGGGAGCCGAGCCAGGAGCGCAGCAAAGUUGUUAUUGUUGUUGAAUAUUACACAGUAUCCAAUAAAUUUGCUAAUGAAUAUCAGCAGUGGCCCCGGUAAAAAAAAAAAGACUUUAACGUAGCAAGGUUAACGUCCCUUAUUCUCGAUUAUUCUCAAUUAAGGAUGAAUGGAUACGAAGGGACUGGUGGUGGAAAGGGUGGUCCAAAUAAAUUGCCCCUGAAGAGAAGUUAGGACAAAAGAAGGUGAGGGUUGUCUUUCUUUAAAGUCAAAUUUUAAUUACAGAAGCUGGCAUCCAUUCUUCUUAUAAAAUCUGGCCCAUUACAUAUGAAGCUCAAGUCCCCUUUCAUUACUGCUCCUAAUCCCCAUCCUGUUAGCAAUGUAAUGUGUAUCCUUCCAGUCCUUUCUGUGCACAUUUAUAUAUGUCGUUGUAGGAAAUGUAUUUUAUUUUACAUAAAAGGUGUUAUAUUGCGUA